rnacentral:rRNA from 1 species
GACGAACGCUGGCGGCGUGCUUAACACAUGCAAGUCGAACGGAAAGGCCCUGCUUUUGUGGGGUGCUCGAGUGGCGAACGGGUGAGUAACACGUGAGUAACCUGCCCUUGACUUUGGGAUAACUUCAGGAAACUGGGGCUAAUAUCGGAUAGGAGCUCCUGCAGCAUGGUGGGGGUUGGAAAGUUUCGGCGGUUGGGGAUGGACUCGCGGCUUAUCAGCUUGUUGGUGGGGUAGUGGCUUACCAAGGCUUUGACGGGUAGCCGGCCUGAGAGGGUGACCGGCCACAUUGGGACUGAGAUACGGCCCAGACUCCUACGGGAGGCAGCAGUGGGGAAUAUUGCACAAUGGGCGGAAGCCUGAUGCAGCAACGCCGCGUGCGGGAUGACGGCCUUCGGGUUGUAAACCGCUUUCGCCUGUGACGAAGCGUGAGUGACGGUAAUGGGUAAAGAAGCACCGGCUAACUACGUG